UGCUGGUGUCCUUGGUGAGGGCCUUGUCGGGUGGCCCGGCAAAGGUCUUGCCGUGGCGCGCUGUCGUCUCCGGCAAGGGCCUUGCCGGGGGUCUGGUGGCCUUCCUCGGCAAGGAUCUUGCCGAGGAUCAUCGUCUUCUAAUCCUCAUCUGAUCUUGAAUAUGUAUUCACAAAGAUCUGCAUGCCACCACGGAGGUGCCUCCCGAGCCCUAGCCCAAUGUGAUGUUGGAGACCGUGGGCUCAAGGUGGCCCACUCUGUUGGUGCGGGGCGAGCUGUCCCGGCAAGGAUCUUCCCGGGGCUGCUGAGGCUGCCCCGCCAAGGGUCUUGCCGGGGGAAUCUGCUUCAUCCCUCUGCUCUUUGUGGUCUUGGCCUUGGCGUUGCUCUUAUUAUCUUGGGCUUUGGUCUUACCUUGGCUCACCUCCCCUGUUCUGCUUGGCGUGACCGUAGGCGCGGCUCCGACUGCCCGUGCACAGGUAUAGAGGUACAAAAACGCACCCCUCUUUUUGUACACCAACAUUCACUUCAAUACCUCUUUUAGAAAUUUUAUGGCCUAAAAAAAUACCUUCAUUAACCAUAAAGUGGCACCUCUCCCAAUUCAAGACAAGAUUUGUUUGCUCGCAGCUCUGCAAAACUCGAUCAAGAUUGCUUAAACAAUCAUCAAAAGACUUCCCAUAAACAGACAAGUGAUCCAUGAAAACCUCAACAAUCUUUUCACAAAAUUCAGAGAAUAUAGAAGUCAUACAUCUUUGAAAGGUAGCAGGUGCGUUGCAUAAACCAAAAGGCAUACGUCUAUAAGCAUAAGUUCCAAAGGGACAAGUGAAAGUGGUCUUUUCUUGAUCAGGUUGAGAAACAGGUAUUUGUGAAAAACCAGAAUAUCCAUGAAGGAAGCAAAAAUGUGUGCUCUUAGAUAAUCUUUCUAGCAUUUGAUCAAUAAAAGGCAAAGGGUAAUGAUCUUUUCUAGUUGCUUUGUUUAAUUUUCUAAAAUCAAUUACCAUUCUAUAGCCUGUAACAAUUCUAUGUGGAAUAAUUUCAUUCUUGUCAUUAGGAACAAUAGUAAUACCUCCUUUCUUAGGGACACAAUGAACAGGACUUACCCAUCUACUACUAGCUAUAGGAUAGAUUAUACCUGCUUCCAAUAGUUUUAGUAUUUCCGUUCUUACCACUUCCUUCAUUUUCCGAUUUAAUCGACGUUGAUGAUCAACAACGGGUUUAGCAUCAGGUUCCAUAUUAAUCUUGUGCUGACAUAGAGUGGGACUAAUGCCCUUUAAAUCAUCAAGAGUAUAUCCAAUAGCAGCACAGUGCUUCCUUUGAACUUUCAAUAAUAUUUCUUCAUGUUUUGAAAGGUUAGCACCAAUAAUAACAAGAUAUAUCUUCUUCUCAUCAAGAUAAGCAUAUUUCAAAGUGUCUGGCAAUUGUCUUAAUUCAAACACACGAUCACCUUUAGGUGGAGGAGGACCUCCUAGAGUUUCAGUAGGCAAAUUGUGUUUAAGCGUAAAGGACGUUGUUCAAAGAAAAUCUUAUAUAUUUCAUUUCUUUCAUGCAUAUGCAAAUCAUUUUCAUGGUCUAGUAGAUAUUGUUCUAGUGGAUCAGUAGGAGGCACAACAAUGGAAGCAAGACCAAUUAUUUCAUCCUUACUAGGAAAUUAUUUUUCAUGAAGCUUUCUACUAAACUUGGAAAAAUUAAACUCAUGAGACUUAUCACCAAAACAAACACCGACAAUUUGUUUGUCACAAUCUAUUUUAGCAUUAACGGUGUUCAAGAAAGGUCUACCAAAUAUAAUGGGACAAAAGUCAUCUUGUGGGGAACCAAGAACAAGAAAAUCAGUAGGGUAUUUUAUUUUCCCACACAAGACUUCAACAUCUCUAACAACCCCAAUUGGUGAUAUAGUAUCUCUAUUAGCAAGUUUAAUUCUAACAUCUAUGUCUUCUAUCUCUUCGGGUGCUAUGUCAUUCAUAAUUUCUUGAUAUAAGGAAUAAGGAAUAGCACUCACGCUAGCACCUAUGUCACAUAAACCAUGAUAACAGCGACCUCCUAUUUUAACUGAGAAACGGGCAUGCCAACAAUAGGUCUAUGUUUAUCCUUUUUAUCAGGUUUGGCAAUUCUAGCAGCUUCUUCACAGAAGUAAAUAACAUGCCCAUCUACAUUUUCUUCCAAGAGAUCCUUAACCAUAGCAACACUAGGUUCUACUUUAAUUUGUUCAUCAGGUUUAGGUGUUCUAAUAUAACUUUUGUUGACCACAGUUGAAACUUUAGCAUGUUCCUUUAUCCUAAUAGGGAAAGGUGGUUUCUCAAUAUAAGCAGUAGGAAUAACUGGAUCAACAUUAUAAAGUAUAGUUUCCUCUUUAGCUAGUACCAGUUCUUUAAUUUCUUAUUUAAUAGGUGGGUGAUAUUUAAACCACUUCUCUUUAGGGAGAUCAACAUGAGUAGCAAAUGAUUCACAAAAGGAGGCUACUAUCUCAGAGUCAAGUCCAUAUUUAGUGCUAAACUUUUGAAAAGCAUCGGUAUUCAUAAAAGAUUUAACACAAUCAUACUUAAGCUUAAUACCUGACUCUUUACCUUCUUCGAGUUCCCAAUCAUCAGAGUUGCGUUUAAUUCUUUCCAAAAGAUCCCACCGGAAUUCAAUAGUCUUCUUAAUAAAAGAACCAGCACAAGAAGUAUCAAGCAUGGAUCGAUCAUUAUGAGAAAGCCGAGCAUAAAAAUUCUGGAUAAUAAUUUCUCUUGAGAGCUCAUGAUUGGAGCAUGAAUAUAACAUUGGCUUAAGCCUCCCCCAAGCUAGAGCGACCCUUUCUCCUUCACGAGGCCAAAAAUUAUAUAUGUAAUUCCGAUCACGAUGAACUAAAUGCAUGGGAUAAUUUUUUUGGUGGAACUCCAAUUUCAAUCGAUUCCAAUUCCAAGAUCCAAUAUCAUCGCAUAGACUAUACCAUGCCAAUGUUUUUCCCUUCAAAGAUAAAGGGAAAACCUCCUUCUUAAAUUCAUCUUAGGGUAAACCUGCAAGCUUAAACGAUCCACAUAUUUGUUCCACAUAUAUCAAGUGCAUAUCAGGAUGUUCGGUUCCAUCCUGCACAAGGAUUAGCUAGCAGCUGUUCUAUCAUACCCGAAGGAAUUUCAUAUUCAAUAUUUUCAGUACGUGCAGUAGGUUGAGGGGUAGCUAAUUGUGGUUCCGGUCAAGGUGAAGAUACCCCGAACAAACCCCUCGAAGGAUUGUUUUCCAUAGUAACAAGUGACAGUAAAUUUCAGCACACUAUAUAAAUGUUUCCUUACCAAAUUCCACUUACCAAAGGCGCUUCACUCCCCGGCAACGGCGCCAGAAAAUAGCCUUGAUGACCCACAAGUAUAUUGGAUCAAUUGUAUCUCUUUUCAAUAAGUAAGAGUGUCGAACCCAACGAGGAGCAGAGGGAAAUGACACGUGGUUUUCAGCAAGGUAAUGUCUGCAAGUGCUGAAGUUGUAAGUAACGGAGUAGUUUGAUAGCAAGAUAAUUUGUAACGAGCAAGUAACGACUGUAGUAACAAAAGGGCAUCAAGGUAGCCCGAUCCUUUUGAGGCAAAGGACAGGCCAAAAAGGUCUCUUAUAAUAGGCAAAGCAUUCUUGAGGAUACUGAUACGUCUCCAUCAUAUCUACUUUUCCAAACACUUUUGCCCUUGUUUUGGACUCUAACUUGCAUGAUUUGAAUGGAACUAACCCGGACUGACGUUGUUUUCAGCAGACUUUCCAUGGUGUUAUUUAUGUGCAGAACAAAAGUUCUCGGAAUGACCUGAAACUCCACGGAAUGUAUUUUUGGAAAAUAUUAAAAAUACUGGAAGAAGAAUCCACGCCAGGGGGGCCUCCAACUGUCCACGAGGGUGGGGGCACGCCUGCCCCCCUGGGCGCGCCUCCCUGCCUCGUGGGCCCCCUGACGCUCCACCGACCUCAACUCCAACUCCAUAUAUUCACUUUCGGGGGGAAAAAAUAAGGGAGAAGGAUUCAUCGCGUUUUACGAUACGGAGCCGCCGCCAAGCCCUAAAACCUCUCGGGAGGGCUGAUCUGGAGUCCGUUCGGGGCUCCGGAGAGGGGAAUCCGUCGCCAUCGUCAUCAUCAACCAUCCUCCAUCACCAAUUUCAUGAUGCUCACUGUCGUGAGUAAUUCCAUCGCAGGCUUGCUAGACGGUGAUAGGUUGGAUGAGAUUUAUCAUGUAAUCGAGUUAGUUUUGUGAGGGUUUGAUCCCUUGUAUCCACUAUGUUCUGAGAUUGACGAUGCUAUGACUUUGCUAUGCUUAAUGCUUGUCACUAGGGCCCGAGUGCCAUGUGAGGGUAGGACAAAAGAUGUCAUGCAAGUUCUUUUCCAUAAGCACGUAUGACUAUAUUCGGAAUACAUGCCUACAUUACAUUGAUGAAUUGGAGCUAGUUCUGUGUCACCCUAUGUUAUGACUGUUACAUGAUGAACCACAUCCGGCAUAAUUCUCCGUCACCGAUCCAAUGCCUACGAGCUUUUCACAUAUUGUUCUUCGCUUAUUUACUUUUCCGUUGCUACUCUUACAAUCACUACAAAACCCAAAAAUAUUACUUUUGCUACUGUUACCGUUACUUCCACAUUACUUUGCUACUAAAUACUUUGCUGUAGAUACUAAGUUAUCCAGGUGUGGUUGAAUUGACAACUCAACUGCUAAUACUUGAGAAUAUUCUUUGGAUCCCCUUGUGUCGACUCAAUAAAUUUGGGUUGAAUACUCUACCCUCAAAAACUGUUGCGAUCCCCUAUACUUGUGGGUUAUCAAGACUAUUUUCUGGCGCCAUUGCCGGGGAGCAUAGCUAUAUUCUUUGAGUCACUUGGGAUUUAUAUCUGCUGGUCACUAUGAAGAACUUGAAAGACGAGAAAACAAAAAUUUAUUCCUCAACUACGAGGGGAGGUAAGGAACUUCCAUCUAGCUCUGCACUUGAUUCACCCUCUGUUUUGAGUAAGCCUGCGACACCUAAACCUGCUUCUGCUAUUCACUCUGAUAUGUCGCAUGUUAUUGAUGAUGCCACUUCUACUAUGCAUGAUACUUAUGAUGAACUUCUAUGCUUGAUACUACUAUGCCACUUGGUGAAUUUCUUGAUGAACAACUUGCUAGGGCUAGAGAGAAUGAAAUUAUUUAAACUGGUAAUAUUGAAGAUAGUGAUGAUGAAGACUCUCCCCCUAAUAAAUAUGAAUUACCUGUUGUGCCUGAGGGUUAUGUUCUGGAUGAAGAAUCUGCUAGAGCUAUUCUUGCUUGCAAUGAUAGAAGUGAUCUUAAGAAGCUAUUAGCUAAAUGGAAGCACCAAUCUCUUAAUGCUAGAAAGAAACCUGACCUUGCUUUUGCUACUUCACCUAUCUGUGUUACUGAUAAGGAUUAUGAGUUCUUUGUUGAUCCUGAUAUAAUUACUUUGCUUGAAUCCGAUCCUUUUUAUGGCUAUGAAUCUGAAACUGUUGUGGCACAUCUUACUAAAUUAAAUGUUAUAGCCACCCUGUUCACUAAUGAUGAGAAAUCUCGCUACCUUUAUAUCCUUAAAUUAUUUUCGUUCUCAGUAAAGGGUGAUGCUAAGAUAUGGUUUAAUUCUCUUGAUCCUGGUUGUGUGCAUAGUCCCCAUGAUAUGAAUUAUUACUUCUCUGCUAAAUAUUUCCCUGCUCAUAAGAAACAAGCUACUUUAAGGGAUAUAUACAACUUUGUGCAAAUUGAAGAAGAGAGUCUCCCACAAGCUUGGGGGAGGCUUCUCCAAUUACUUAAUGCUUUGCCUGAUCAUCCUCUUAAGAAAAAUGAAAUACUUGAUAUCUUUUAUAGUGGACUAACCGAUGCUUCCAGAGAUUACCUGGAUAGUUGUGCUGGUUCUGUUUUCAGGGAAAGAACAUCGGAUGAAACUGAAAUUUUCUUGAAUAAUAUGUUGAACAAUGAAAAUAAUUGGACACUUUCUGAGCCUAUUCCUAAACCAACUCCGAAGAAGAGAGGUGUUCUAUUUCUCAGUCCUGAAGAUAUGCAAGAGACAAAGAAAUCUAUGAAAGAAAAAGGUAUUAAAGCUGAAGAUGUUAAGAAUUUACCUCCGAUUGAAGAAAUACAUGGUCUUAAUUUACCGCCUGUCGAAGAAACAUAUGAUCUUAAUCCCUCACCUAUUGAAGAAACUCAUGGUCUUGAUAACCCGACACAGGUAGUAAAGGUAAAUUCACUCUAUAGAUUUGAUGAAGGUGAUACUCCUCGUUAUAAGUCUGCUAGACAAUGCUUAGAUGAGUUUGACAAUUUUAUUGUUAAACAAGAGAACUUCAAUGCUUAUGUUAGUAGACAAUUGAAAUACAAUUCAAAUAUGCUUGAACACUUGAGUAAUUACAUGGCUAAUGUUAAAGGUGAACUUAAACUCAUUAGUAAACAUGCUUCUAUGGUUACCACUCAAGUAGAACAAGUACUUAAAGCUCAAAAUGAUUUGCUCAAUGAAUUGAAUAAUAAGAAGAAUGAUUAUGCUGUUAGAGUGGCUACUAGAACUGGUAAAAUGACUCAGGAACCUUUGUAUCCUAAAGGCCACCCUAAGAUAAUUGAACAAGAUUCUCAGAGAAAUCAUUUAGAUGCACCUAGUCCUUCUAAAAAGAACAAAAAGAAAAAUGAUAGGGCUUUGCAUGCUUCUAGUGAACCUAUUGCUGAACCGAAACACAAUCUGGUAAUGAACAUGAAACUAGUGAUAAUGUUAAUGAUGAUGCUCAACCUAGUAAUGAUAAUGAUGUAGAAAUUGAACCUGCUGUUGAUCUUGAUAACCCACAAUCAAAGAAUCAACGUUAUGAUAAGAAAGACUUUGUUGCUAGGAAACAUGGUAAAGAAAGAUAACCAUGGGAUGUCCCGUCGUUAUGCCAUCACGAAGGUGCUGGCCCGGUCCCGUGUACGUCUCGUGAGAAAUCCUGACCCUACACCCGAACGUGGCUCGGGAAACAGGAAAGUACCCCGUUACGUACACGAUCCGACCGACGGUAAACAGUCGCAACGGUGUGCCUCGAAUGUCGCCUCUGGAAAACCGUUGCCCCCCGGGGGCAACGUCAUCGCUGUCCCGGUCCCCUGUACGUCUCAAGUGAAAUUCUGACCCAACAACCGAAUGCGGCUCGGGAAACAGGAAAGUAGCCCGUUUCGUGCACGAUAAGACCGUCGGACAACGUUGCACCGACGUCCCGAUUAAGUUGCCUUCGGAAAAUCGUUGCAUCCGUAACUUUAUUGCUGCGGGUGUGACACACGCGUGAUUUGGCCUUGCAGGACGCCUUCGUGCAAGUGAUCCUCCUGUGCUCUGCACGGGCGGAGGCUUGGUUAGUUUGACCGCUUGUUGGCUACUAAGCGCAUGAGUAGCUUUGGACCCGUGUCUGCCGGUAGAUCCCCCGUUGUACUGCGGCCGACUACCGACGCCGUGUCCCGUCCCUUGUGUGGCUUUGAAUCGCUGGAUUAAGAGUGCUUGCGUGCUAGUACCCGACCUACGGGAAGUGGCGCUUCGGAUAAUUGUUGCCUCGCGGCGGACGCCCUUUGGGUGUGCUGCUGCGGCCAAAUAGCGCUUGCGGCGUUGCCUCGUGGCGCUGGCACGUUACGUGCCUGCUGCUAUCAAGGCAACCUCGCUCCCGCUUUUGGUAUCGGAUGCUGCUGACGAUAAAGGGUCGUGGCCCUUUCGGUUGCCUCGACCCGACCCAAAGCUCUCUGAAUUGAGAACAACCGGAACAGGAG
rnacentral:lncRNA from 1 species